rfam:Trichobilharzia regenti genome assembly, scaffold: TRE_scaffold0014980
GUACUGCUGAAGAGUCCUAAACUAGGACGAAACAGAUUUCCAGUAC